rnacentral:rRNA from 1 species
UGCCUAACACAUGCAAGUCGAACGGGAAAGCACUUUUCGGAGUGCGAGUAAAGUGGCGAGCGGGUGAGUAACGCGUGGGUGAUCUACCCUUUAGUGGGGGAUAACCCGGGGAAACCCGGGCUAAUACCGCAUAAGCCUGAGGUGGUCGACAUUUCAGGGAAAGUUUUUGGAUGCCGAGGGAGGAGCCCGCGUCCGAUUAGCUAGUUGGUGAGGUAAGAGCUCACCAAGGCGACGAUCGGUAGCCGGUCUGAGAGGACGGACGGUCACACUGGGACUGAGACACGGCCCAGACUCCUACGGGAGGCAGCAGUGGGGAAUUUUGGGCAAAUGGGCGCAAGCCUGACCCAGCAACGCCGCGUGGAGGAUGAAGGUUUUCGGAUCGUAAACUCCUGUCUAGAGGGACGAAGAAGAUGACGGUACCUCUGGAGGAAGCCCCGGCUAACUCCGUGCCAGCAGCCGCGGUAAUAC